UACGGAGGGUGCAAGCGUUAUCCGGAUUCACUGGGUUUAAAGGGUGCGUAGGCGGGCAGGUAAGUCAGUGGUGAAAGCCUCCAGCUCAACUGGAGAACUGCCAUUGAUACUGCCGGGCUUGAGUACAGACGAGGUUGGCGGAAUUGAUUGUGUAGCGGUGAAAUGCAUAGAUACAAUCAAGAACUCCGAUUGCGUAGGCAGCUAACUAGGCUGUAACUGACGCUGAGGCACGAAAGCGUGGGGAGCGAACAGG
rnacentral:rRNA from 1 species